GCGUUGCUGAGGAGUUCCACAAUAGGACGAAACGCCCGUCCAGUGC
rnacentral:hammerhead_ribozyme from 1 species